ACUCAAAUGAAUAGACGGGGGCCCGCACAAGCGGUGGAGCAUGUGGUUUAAUUCGAUGCAACGCGAAGAACCUUACCUACCCUUGACAUCCUGUGAACCUGGGUGAGAGCUCGGGGUGCCGAAAGGAGCACAGAGACAGGUGCUGCAUGGCUGUCGUCAGCUCGUGUUGUGAGAUGUUGGGUUAAGUCCCGUAACGAGCGCAACCCUUGUCCUUAGUUACUAACGAGUUAAGUCGAGGACUCUAAGGAGACUGCCGGUGAGGAACCGGAGGAAGGCGGGGACGACGUCAAGUCAUCAUGGCCUUUAUGGGUAGGGCUACACACGUGCUACAAUGGGGCGUACAGAGGGUCGCCAACCCGCGAGGGGGAGCCAAUCUCUUAAAGCGUCUCGUAGUCCGGAUUGGAGUCUGCAACUCGACUCCAUGAAGUUGGAAUCGCUAGUAAUCGCGAAUCAGCAUUGUCGCGGUGAAUACGUUCCCGGGCCUUGUACACACCGCCCGU
rnacentral:rRNA from 1 species